GUUGCAUGCAGCGAGGUUCUCAGUUUUGCUUAAGUGACCACAAAAACUCUUCUUGGGAACGUUCUGGCGUCGUACCCAAUGCAGAGCAUCCCCAUCGUGGUGCUGAGCACCUCAAUUGUGACAACAGACCGGGAUUUUCUCGACCGAUAACGCUUUGUGAGACGUUUGCAAUGGGGAGGUUUCCCCUCUAGAUGGCAGAGAUGACAGCAGCAAUACCGCACGGGCCCACGCUGCGGAGCGGCCAAACGCGGAGGUGCGCGGCGCUCGCCCAGCGCGGAGGUCCCCGUCCAUCGCGUGGGACCUGCCCAGCUCUCACCAGAUGGACGUGCCCAGCCGGCCCGACAGCCCCACGGUGCCCAGAGCUGGGCUGCCAGCCCCGAGCAGAGCGUGCAGGAGAGGACCACGAGGGGAGUGCUGCAUGCAGACUACUGCCACCUCUUCCUGAGGUACCAACUCAGAGCUCCACAGAGAGCAG
rnacentral:lncRNA from 1 species